UUAAAUAGCCGCAGUAUUUUGACUGUGCGAAGGUAGCAUAAUCAUUUGUCUUUUAAUUGAAGGCUUGUAUGAAGGGUUGAAUGAGGGAAUAACUUUCUUUAUAUUAAAUAUUGAAUUUAAUCUUUAGGUUAAAAAGCUUAAAUUUUUAAAAGGGACGAGAAGACCCUAUAGAAUUUUAUUUAAAGUAUAUUUUAUAUUAUAUUGUUAUUUUUCUAUUAAAUGUACUUUAAAUUAUGUUGGGGUGAUGAUGAGAUUUUUUUAACUCUUAUAUUUUAAUAUUUGUAAAUUAGCAUAUUUAUGAUCCUAUUUUAUGGAUAAUUAGAUUAAAUUACCUUAGGGAUAACAGCGUAAUUUUUCUGGAGAGUUCAUAUCAAUAGAAGAGUUUGCGACCUCGAUGUUGGAUUAAAAUUAAAUUUAAGUGCAGAAGCUUAAUUUUUAGGUCUGUUCGACCUUUAAAAUUUUACAUGAUCUGAGUUCAAACCG
rnacentral:rRNA from 1 species